rnacentral:tRNA from 1 species
AUCCCCUUUUAGCUCAGUGGUCGAGCGUUGGCUUUGGAAGCCACAGGUCGGUGGGUCGAAACCACCAGGGCACA